rnacentral:rRNA from 1 species
AUUGAACGCUGGCGGCAUGCUUUACACAUGCAAGUCGAACGGCAGCACGGAGAGCUUGCUCUCUGGUGGCGAGUGGCGAACGGGUGAGUAAUGCAUCGGAACGUACCGAGUAAUGGGGGAUAACUGUCCGAAAGGAUGGCUAAUACCGCAUACGCCCUGAGGGGGAAAGCGGGGGAUCGAAAGACCUCGCGUUAUUUGAGCGGCCGAUGUUGGAUUAGCUAGUUGGUGGGGUAAAGGCCUACCAAGGCGACGAUCCAUAGCGGGUCUGAGAGGAUGAUCCGCCACAUUGGGACUGAGACACGGCCCAAACUCCUACGGGAGGCAGCAGUGGGGAAUUUUGGACAAUGGGGGGAACCCUGAUCCAGCCAUGCCGCGUGUCUGAAGAAGGCCUUCGGGUUGUAAAGGACUUUUGUUAGGGAAGAAAAGCCGGGUGUUAAUACCACCUGGUGCUGACGGUACCUAAAGAAUAAGCACCGGCUAACUACGUG